ensembl:lncRNA CASC15 cancer susceptibility 15
UUUCUUUUUUUUUUUUUUUUUCUAUUUUUUUUUUUUAAAUUCUGAAGCCAGACCGUCUUUCCUCACAGCUCCACGGCUGCAUCUCCGUGGGCACGCAAGCUUCCCCUGGUUACCUGAGCUGCUCCUGCCGUCUCCCGCCUGGGCUUCGCCGUGGUGCACCCGAUCCCGGAAUCGUGCGUCUGCGCCCUGCGAAAGAAGGACCUGCUGGCGGAGCUCCGGCCGGGGUCUCCUGCCUCGCAGCUGGGCGAGGGGACUUGGAGGACAGGGUGAAGCUGCAGAAGACCUGGGGUGGGAUGGCUAGAGAGGACGCCAAGGACUGGGGAAGGGGAAGUUAGGAAUACCUUACAUCCAAUGCCCACCCGUGCUCCGCAGGGCAAGGGCAGCCGUCGCCUCGGCCGCGUGCACCCAGCUCAGGCUGUUCCCAGGGAUUUAGUCUGGGGGGACAACCCAUGGCGAGAUGUGGUGGCAUUUUACCUCAGAGUGGAGCUGAAGAUGGAUAAACAAGGCUCACAGGCAGAAGGAAUUUUCCUUGUCUUGGAUGAGACUUUUGACUUGGACUUUUGGGUUAAGUUCUGGAGACCAGAAGGCCAAAAUCAAAAGUAUGGGCAGGCUUGAUUUCUUUAGAAGACUCCAGCGGAGAACUGUGUCUCCUUGCUUCUGAUUCUACAUCUCCAUCCAUGGGCCACUGUUUCAGCAACCUCAGCCAGUGCAACACAACCUCAGCCAAGAAGAGUAUGCAGAGAAAGGAGUCCCCUACCUGCCACAAAACUGUUGUCUGAAAACUGUCUCAUAUUGUCUCAAGUUGUCAUUCAUUGUGAAUUAGACCUGUUUAACAUGUAAUCUGCAACAUGCUUCACUGUCUAAUUUUCCAGAGCCCCUCAUAUAAGGAACUGUAUUAUUGGUAUAAUCAUCAUGGUGAAGAAGUUGGUAUGUGGGGGAGAGAUGACAGAAACAGAGAGUAAGUCAGAGCUGGCUGCCUGACAGAUAAAAAGGAAAUGACCAAAAAAAAAAAAAAAGACACAGAAGAAUACUUUGUUGUCCACACAGAAAAGGGAAGUGUAGGUAAGACAGCAGUAGACUAAGAUUCUUAAGACUCAAGUUCUAGUCUUAUUUAUUAGCUAUGGGAGGCCUUGAGGGAGUUCUAGAAUUAAGUGAUCUCUCUUUAUAAAAUAGGAACAGUAAUAACUUCCUGGCUAACUCCCUGGCUGUCUCACAAUGCUGUAGUAGUAAGAAAUAAUUUUAUAAUUAAAGACUAUUUUAGGGCUGAUUACAUUUUUGGGCAGUGGCUCAUACAUGUAAUUUCAACAUUUUGGGAGGCCAAGGUGGGCGGAUUGCUUGAGCCCAGGAAUUCAAGACCAGGCUGGGCAACACAGACCUUGUCACUACAAAAGAAAAAAACAUUAGCUAGGCGUGGUGAUGUAUGCCUGUGGUCCCAGCUACUCAGGAAGCUGAGACAGGAGGAUCACCUGAGCCUGGGAGGUCGAGGCUACAGUGAGCCAUGAUCACACUACUGCACUCCAGCCUGGGAAACAGAGUGAGACUCUGUCUCAAAAAAAAAAAAAAAGGAAUAUUUUACACUUCAAGGUUCUAUACAAAUGUAAAAUAUCAUUCUAUUACUUAUUUAUAAUGCUGAUUAUUCUUUAAAUGACUUUAAAAUGUUAAUCUCUGCUUGAGCCUACGGAGAAGUAUGUAACAAAUUUGUGAAGGAUUGGCAUUAAACAUAGUCAAAAUAAAACAUAGAAAUUAUGGUAAAUAAUUUAACUGGUAAAAUAAUCUAAGUGGUAGUUCUCAGGUAAGUGGAAAUUCGAUUAGCUGAUUGUUUAGGAUUCUUGGUUAUAAGUGACAGAGACCUGACUAAAAGUACAUGAAGCACAUAACUGAGAAGGUUGUGGUAUGGCUCAGCAGAAAUGGGAAAAUCUUGGGACUGGUUCGUGUUUUAUUUACAUUAUCUUUGUUCCCAGGCAGUCUCUGCAUGUAAGUGGCAAAGAUGACUGUCUGAAAAUAUAUACCUACUUUUUUAAAGGGCUAUCUCAAGCCAUUCUGGAGAAGCACCAAAAGCCACUUUGCUUAUACUGGGAGAAUAGUUUGCUUUCCCUAAUUUGUGAUGAGUGAAACACUGAACAGAGACAUAGAAUAAUAUUCUGUAGUUCAGGGUUGGUGUAAUAUGGCCAGUGGGCGGAAUCUGGUCCUCAGACUGAUUUUGCAAAUAAUCUUAUAGAAACACAGCAACACCCAUUCAUUACAUGUUGUUUAUGGUUGCUUUGGGGUUACAAUGGCAGAGUUGAGUAGUUGUGACAGAGAUCACUAGGCUCACCACAUCUGAGAUAUGUACUGACUGACCCUGUACAGAAAGUUUGCUGCUCUUAGAGGAAUGUGUGUUUCUAGUGUCAGCAAUAAACUUCUUGGAUUUGUUUUGUUUUCUCAUCUUUACAUGAUAGUUGCAGACUAGUUGAUCCUUGUGACCUGUUUUUGAAUGCCACUGUGUAUUCUGUCAGGGCCCUCUGAUUCUGUUUCUUAUGGUGCUGAAUGCACAAUUUAAUGCCCUGGAAUUUCCUUCUGUCUUCUGCUAAACUCAUGCCUCUUCAGAUAGUUAAAAUCCUGUUCUACCUUAGAAGUCUCCAGAGUUAUUUUCCUAAAUUAAGAAGAACUGGCUUUGAAGUUACUCAUUAUGCCACACACAAUGGUUGAAAAGAGCAUCUCUUAUGUACUGUGUAUAUUUCAGCAUCCACUCAGCUUCUUAGGUAGAAAAGGAAGAGUCUUCCACAGUGUAUUUUAUCCAUAUUUGGGUCAGAAACUCUUCUUUACCACGGAGCGUGAUGGAAGAAAGAUAUGGGAUGGUAACAGUAGGCCAGGGAUGUAAUAAUCACAAAAUUUGAGAUAUUUUGUGACUGGUGACUCACGCCUGUGAUCCCAGCAUUUUGGGAGGCCAAAGCGGGCGGAUCACCUGAGGUCAGGAGUUCAAGACCAGCUUGGCCAAUGUAGUGAAACCUCAUCUCUACUAAAAAAAUAUAAAAAUUAGCUGGGUGUGGUGGUGCACACCUGUAAUC